rnacentral:rRNA from 1 species
CCUACGGGAGGCAGCAGUAAGGAAUAUUGGUCAAUGGGCGCAAGCCUGAACCAGCCAUGCCGCGUGCAGGAAGACGGCCUACGGGUUGUAAACUGCUUUUGCAGGGGAAUAUGUACUCUGAGAAUAAGGAUCGGCUAACUCCGUGCCAGCAGCCGCGGUAAUACGGAGGAUCCAAGCGUUAUCCGGAUUUAUUGGGUUUAAAGGGUGCGUAGGCGGCCUGUUAAGUCAGGGGUGAAAGACGGUAGCUCAACUAUCGCAGUGCCUUUGAUACUGAUGGGCUUGAAUGUACUUGAGGUAGGCGGAAUGUGACAAGUAGCGGUGAAAUGCAUAGAUAUGUCACAGAACACCAAUUGCGAAGGCAGCUUACUAAGUUGAUUGACGCUGAGGCACGAAAGCGUGGGGAUCAAACAGGAUUAGAUACCCUUGUAGUC